rnacentral:lncRNA from 1 species
UGGAGAAGCAUAGGUCGGAGAUGGAGAGGUCCUCAGCACGAGCAAAAACAUCAUAAAAGGAGAAUAACGGCUCUGAAUCAACACGUCCAACGAUGAGGAAGAGCACACCGUCAUCUAAAUACUGGAAGCGUCGACACGACACAUCCGGCCAGCUCCAAUGUCAAAGAAGGCCCUUACCUCCUCUCUUGACUCGAAAGGCGCCACACUAUUGACAAGAGGAGGCAUUCUUCCUAGAACAUAGAGAUAGUGGUCGACAGGCUGUAGUGGGAAAGAAACCUAGCACAUAUUUGAAGAAUUUAAAGGUAAGGAUUCACUUUGGACUAACUCUAUAACCCCAAGGUAUAGAUCAAACUUUACUCCCAGACGCAUAGUUUCUGCAAUUCUGGAACCCAAUCAAUCAAUCGGUCACAAAACUCGUGGCCACACGGCCGUCGCAAGUCUCAACUAGGCCCAUCGAGCGCGCUUCCUCGCCUGCUCCUCGCCGGAGUAGCCGGCUUCCUCGUCCGCGCUGGGGUAGUUGGACUUUGAGCCCGUAGUCUCGACGUCGCUUGAGCGGGCAGGCAGCGGAGGGACCGCCGGCUUCGUGAAGACCUUGCGGACCACGCAGUCCAUGUUCNN